CCUACGGGGGACAGCAGUGAGGAAUCUUGGUCAAUGGCCGGAAGGCUGAACCAGCCAAGUCGCGUGCGGGAAUAAGGCCCUAUGGGUCGUAAACCUCUUUUGUCAGGGAGCACAGGCGUCCACGAGUGGACGAAAGGAGAGUACCUGAAGAAAAAGCAUCAGCUAACUCCGUGCCAGCAGCCGCGGUAAUACGGAGGAUGCGAGCGUUAUCCGGAUUUAUUGGGUUUAAAGGGUUCGUAGGCGGAGUGUCAAGUCAGCGGUAAAAUUUCGGGGCUCAACCCCGUCGUGCCGUUGAAACUGACACCCUUGAGUGAGUGAGAAGUAAGCGGAAUGCGUGGUGUAGCGGUGAAAUGCAUAGAUAUCACGCAGAACGCCGAUUGCGAAGGCAGCUUACCGGCGCUCAACUGACGCUGAGGCACGAAAGUGCGGGUAUCGAACAGGAUUAGAUACCCUAGUAGUC
rnacentral:rRNA from 1 species